AGUCUAACGUAACCUUAGACAAGACAGACCUUUAGAUAACCCUACUACAAUCGAUAAAGAUUAACAAGGCGGCACGUAUAUUAGGCAUUUUGCUCCACAAUACUACAAGAACUACAAGUCCGCAUGUACUGUGCGAAAAGUCAGCGGACGUCUCAGGAUAUUGCGUAUAUUUUCUGGCGACGAAAAGAUCCAACUUUGUUGUAGUUUCAGGCAGUAAGCAAACGAUUAUGUAACAGAUGCGAACUACAACACCCAGAACACGUUAGAAAGGUGAUUCAAUGACGUCAAUGGCAAGUUCUUGUGUUCUGUAUGGCAGGACUUAUGCACGAGGUCGGAACUGAAGUAAAUAAAGAUGAGCAGCAGUGCACCCAGCCCCAUGUCAGGCAGUGCUUCUUCAAAUGCCGGAAGAGGAUCUGGAAAAUCGACCAGCUUUGUUCCUGAAUUGCAAAGCAUGAUGUUUGCACUCGGGGAUGCCCGCCGGCCUCUUCAUGAGACAGCAGCCUUGGUAGAAGACAUUGUACACACCCAGCUCAUUAAUUUGCUACAGCAAGCAGCUGAGGUGUCUUUUCUGAGAGGGGCAAGAGUCAUAUCAGCUGAAGACAUCCUGUUUCUUAUGAGGAAAGACAAGAAAAAAAUCCGGAGGUUGCUGAAAUACAUGAUUUUCCGAGACUACAAAUCCAAAAUUGUUAAAUCUGUUGAUGACGAAGACCUACUUGAAGCAGACAAAUUCAGCAGCAGCAGUGUAAACAAACGGCAGAAGCUGGCUCACGACUUUCUCAGCUCUAUUGACCAGACAGGGGAUUUCUUGGCCCUGUUAGAAGACGAUGACGUUGAUGAAGUCAAACAGGAGAGACUAGAGAGGGCUGAUAAACAGACUAGAAUGAUGGACCCUGCUCAGUACAGUGAAUUCUGUGAAAGUCGACAGCUGAGCUUUUCCAAAAAGGCAUCUAAGUUUCGGGAAUGGUUGGACUGCAGCAGUAUGGAAGUGAAGCCUAAUGCAGUAGCCAUGGAAAUACUUUCUUACUUGGCAUAUGAGACUGUAGCUCAGUUAGUGGACCUUGCUCUUUUGGUAAAACAAGACAUGACACCGAAAGCUGGAGAUCCCUUUAGCCAUGCAAUAUCAGCAACUUUCAUUCAAUAUCACAGUUCAACAGCUGAGGUAUACCUGCAAGGGCAGUCUGCAGCGGUCAAGAGCAAUCCUGAUUCUCCAGAGAACACCCCUCCUUCUACACCCACUCCACCAGUGACCAGCUCUCAGCAUUCAGGCAAGACCCACUCAGGAUCCUUGGGGAAUGGAGGCAUGAGUCAGGACACCAGCAGCAAGGUGAAACAAAGGAAAAGAAAAAAGAGCGCUGCAGCCUGUGGUCUGGAGGCUCAAAGCAAUGCCAUCCAGCCCUCCCACAUCAGAGAAGCGAUCCGGCGCUACAGCCACAAGAUUGGCCCACUCUCCCCAUUCACAUAGCCGCCAACUGAUGGGAUAUUACCACCCCAAAGAUGAAUGACUGAGCUUUGAUACCAAUGGCACUGAUAAGUCAGUCAGGAGAGGGACACCCUAACUUCUGCCUCUUUCCUGAGGGAAUGUAAGGACAUUCCACUCCUUACACUUACUUUUUCACCGAUGAAGAAACAUUGACAAGUCUGCCAAACAACUUAAUUUUCCUCCCUCUCUCCCCCUCCCACCUCUUCUCUUUGACAGAGUGUCUACCGCAGAAGCGGGAUGACAUUCCUAGCCUGCUGAUUGGAAGUUGCAGGAGCAAGGAAGGAGUGCCAUUGUCUGGAGGUGACUGUUUCCCUGCGCAGAAAGGCAUCUGUUCAUAUCCUCGCACCAUAUCGACGUGCCAGUCCCAGACUUUUUUUAUUGUGAGCAGUUCUACAGCCCCCAUGCUUUUUUCUGUUUCUUCAUCCCUUGUUUACUAGCCUGGCUAAUUAACAUCAGGAUGUUUUUGGAUCUUCUGUAGGUGGACAAGAAUGCAGAUUGCAUGCUUUUUAAAUCUGAUCUAACUUUUUCUAUGGUUGGCAAGUGUUUGCUUAAGUUAGAAGGACUAUUUAGAAAUGGGUUUGGAUGACAGGUUUUGUUUUCAGAUGGAUUUUUAUUUUGUAGAUUCAUUAAAAAAGUGGUCUUUGUUUCAUUUGCUUGUCAACGCUUUUUCCUAAUAAACAUCUAUGCAUUCCACAAAUA